UUUGAGGAGUGACACAAAUAA
rnacentral:piRNA from 1 species